AGCGAACGCUGGCGGCAGGCUUAACACAUGCAAGUCGAGCGGGCGUAGCAAUACGUCAGCGGCAGACGGGUGAGUAACGCGUGGGAACGUACCUUUUGGUUCGGAACAACACAGGGAAACUUGUGCUAAUACCGGAUAAGCCCUUACGGGGAAAGAUUUAUCGCCGAAAGAUCGGCCCGCGUCUGAUUAGCUAGUUGGUGAGGUAACGGCUCACCAAGGCGACGAUCAGUAGCUGGUCUGAGAGGAUGAUCAGCCACAUUGGGACUGAGACACGGCCCAAACUCCUACGGGAGGCAGCAGUGGGGAAUAUUGGACAAUGGGCGCAAGCCUGAUCCAGCCAUGCCGCGUGAGUGAUGAAGGCCCUAGGGUUGUAAAGCUCUUUUGUGCGGGAAGAUAGUGACGGUACCGCAA
rnacentral:rRNA from 1 species